rnacentral:rRNA from 1 species
CCCUUAGAUGUCCGGGGCCGCACGCGCGCUACACUGAAGGAAUCAGCGUGGCUUUCUCCCUGACCCGAAAGGGUUGGGAAACCCGUUGAAUCUCCUUCGUGAUAGGGAUUGGGGCUUGAAAUUGUUCCCCAUGAACGAGGAAUUCCCAGUAAGCGCGAGUCAUAAGCUCGCGUUGAUUACGUCCCUGCCCUUUGUACACACCGCCCGUCGCUACUACCGAUUGAACGGUUUAAUGAGGGCCUCGGAUUGGUCUCGGCCCGCUCUUUACCGGGCGGCGCCGUUGGUCGAGAAGACGCUCGAACUUGAUCGUUUAGAGGAAGUAAAAGUCGUAACA